GGGCCGUUAGCUCAGCUGGUCAGAGCAAGGAACUCAUAAUUCCGGGGUCGCAGGUUCAAGUCCUGCACGGCCUA
rnacentral:tRNA from 1 species